CAGUGGGACUCUUGACCCCAGUACCCAAAAUGUGUGGAACUCAUGAUCAGAGAAUCCUGAUUCUUGAUCACAGAGUCCCAGACAUGUAGGACUCAGAGUCUCCGAACAUUAGGACUCUUGGUUGAAGAGUCCCAGUCCAGUGGGACUCUUCACCAGCCAUCAGAUCAGAUAGGAACCUUUAAUGUGUGUGACCCCGCAGGUUCGAAC
rnacentral:lncRNA from 1 species